UUUAAUUGGAAGCAACGCGAAGAACCUUACCAGGUCUUGACAUCCUCUGACAAUCCUAGAGAUAGGACGUCCCCUUCGGGGGCAGAGUGACAGGUGGUGCAUGGUUGUCGUCAGCUCGUGUCGUGAGAUGUUGGGUUAAGUCCCGCAACGAGCGCAACCCUUGAUCUUAGUUGCCAGCAUUCAGUUGGGCACUCUAAGGUGACUGCCGGUGACAAACCGGAGGAAGGUGGGGAUGACGUCAAAUCAUCAUGCCCCUUAUGACCUGGGCUACACACGUGCUACAAUGGACAGAACAAAGGGCAGCGAAACCGCGAGGUUAAGCCAAUCCCACAAAUCUGUUCUCAGUUCGGAUCGCAGUCUGCAACUCGACUGCGUGAAGCUGGAAUCGCUAGUAAUCGCGGAUCAGCAUGCCGCGGUGAAUACGUUCCCGGGCCUUGUACACACCGCCCGUCACACCACGAGAGUUUGUAACACCCGAAGUCGGUGAGGUAACCUUUUAGGAGCCAGCCGCCGAAGGUGGGACAGAUGAUUGGGGUGAAGU
rnacentral:rRNA from 1 species